GGACCGCCCCGGGCCUGGGCGGGGCUGGGGGCCAGGGAGGGGCGUGCGCAGGAUUGGGGAGCACGUUUUGCGUCUUGCUGUGCGUGAGGAAGCGGGGCUCCAGCUCAAGGCUAUGGAAAGUUCCAGAAGCAAAAACAAAACAAAAAAAGUUCGGGUACAGCGGCUCACACCUGUAAUCCCAGCUCUUAGGGAGAUGGAGACUGGAGGAUCACUUGAGGCCAGGAGUUCAAGACCAGCCUGGGCAACAUAGCAAGACCCAGUCUCUUAAAAGAAAAUUAAAAAGAAAGAAUAAAUAAAGUUCCAGAAGCUUGCUCUCCUUAUCCAAGGAGAGUUUGUCCUUUGGCCCUGGAAAGUGCAGGAGUCAGGUGUUUGUGAGAGCACAUGUUGGUUGUCGCAUUGGUCAGGAUGUACCCAUCACUCUGCAUCCUCCGGCUAAGGAGUGCUGGAGAGCCGUGAUGUCCACUGGCUGUUGUCCCGGGCUUCUCCCUCAAAGACAGGACAAGUGUCUCCUUCCAGUUCUGGCCCAGACUGUCCUCUGAGCUGGGAGCACAGGGCUCCUCCCUGAGUAGAUGACCUGUCAGGUCAGCUGGAUCCAGAGGUCCCACAACUCUCAAGGCAGAGCUGGCAGCUGUCCAGAAGGCAGCAGCCAUGAUAACAAACGUGGCUGACCCAGGCCCAGACCUGUCCGCUGGCAACAGAGAACAGCAGGACUGGCUUUGACAUUGUUUUAGGGAGCCAGACACCCUUCCCAGUCAGGGCAGAAGCCCCCUGGAGAGCUGGGCUCCUGACCUCACCGGCCUCCCCUCCUGAAGGCUCUGGCCAAAUCCACAUGUGACCUCAGGAAGGGAACAUCCUCAGGAGUCCAAAGCCCCUGUUCCCCUGCUCAGUUGGCCACAGUCUCACUCUCCUGCCUCGGGGUUGUGUCUGUAGCAGCCUCUCUUGGGCAGCUGGGGUGAGGAGCACGGAGGGCAGACCCAAGACGGACCAGGCAUCUCUGGGGAGGCGACAUCCCCUCCCACCGGCAGCCCAGAGACAGGAGCUCCCCAGCAGUGUCCCUCAAGGCCAGAUUCGCAAGUAGGUGCCGGUGGAGCAAACAGAGAAAAGCGGGAAUACGCGCUCCUGGAAGUUGACGCGGAAGGUGUAGAGGUGGCGCAUGUCCUCCACGGCGUAGAAGGACACGGCUCCCACCUCCAGGUCCAGGGCCACCCGCACGCGCGACAGGUGCCCACAGCUGAGGGGCGACCGCUCGGGGCUGGUCACGGCCCAGUACUGGCCGCCGUUGAGCUGCAGGGCCCAGACGCCCUCCUCGGGAGUGAAGGGCGUCAGGCCCUUUCGGCGCACGCUCUCGCGGGCCACGCCAAAGGCCCAGCCGUCCUUAGAGCCCACCUCCACCUCCCAGUGAUGCCGGCCCGAGGAGAAGCCGCAGGACGCCAGGACGCGGGUGUUGGUGUCGAAGCGGCGAGGGUGGUUGGGUAGGUCCUGGGCCCGCUCGCCGAGGCGCACGCUCUUAAGAUCCAGAGAGAGGAUGAGGCGCGGGUUGGCGGUGUCGGGAUCCAAGGUGAGCUCCACUGCAGACAGAGACAGGGAGAAAUGUCCCCACGCAGGCAGGCCCCUGGCACAGUCUUUGCAGGGCCGCGCCCGACCUUGCUUUGCAACCUGCCUGCCUUUCCCUCUAGAAUCCCCCCAGCACCCAGCGCCAAGGCCCAACCAACCCCCACGCUCUGCCUCCCAGAUAUUUUGCUUCCCCCCUCCCCGACCACUCAACAAGUACUUACUGAAAUCAAACAAAUGCAAUGUGUGGGCCUGGUUUGAACCCCAAUUCAAACAGAUGGGGAUAUUUGAAUGCUAGACAUUGGAAAGAAUCAUUAAUCUGUCCAGGUGUGAUGACUGCUUUGUGGUUAUGUUUUACAAAGUCUGUUUCUUUAGAGAUAACACACUGAGGUAUUUAUGGCAAUGAUAUGUUGUCUCUGAUGCUUUAAAAUAAUACAGUAGGCCGGGCGCAGUGGCUCACGCCAGUAAUCCCAGCACUUUGGGAGGCCGAGGUGGGCAGAUCACGAGGUCGGGAAAUCAAGAACAUCCUGGCUAACAUGGUGAAACCCCGUCUCUACUAAAAAUUUAAAAAAAAAAAAAAAAAUUAGCCGGGCGUGGUGGCGGGCGCCUGUAGUCCCAGCUACUCCGGAGGCUGAGGCAGGAGAAUGGCGUGAACCCGGGAGGCGGAGCUUGCAGUGAGCCGAGAUGGCGCCACCGCACUCCAGCCUGGGCGACAAAGCGAGACUCCGUCUCAAAAAUAAAAAUAAUAAUAUCAAUAAUACAGUGGAGGCCGGGUGAGAUGGUGCACAGCUGCGAUACCAGCACUUUGGGAGGCUGAGGCCAAUGGAUCACAUGAGGUCAGGAGUUUGGGGCCAGCUUGGCCAACACAGCAGAAAACUUGUUUUGUAUUUUCUCUACUAAAAAUACAAAAAUUAGCCCGGCGUGGUGUCCUGUGCCUGUAAUUCCAGCUGUUUGGGAGGCUGAGGCAUGAGAAUCGCUUGAACCCAGGAGGCAGAGGUUGCAGUGAGCGGAGAUCAGGCCACUGUACCCCACAAUCUCACUCCAGAGCAAGACCCUGUCUCAGAAAACGAAAUAAUCCCACAGGAAGUGGAUAGCAGUGUCUAUGAAAACCGUGGCCACUCAUUGAUCACUGCAGAAGGCCCUGGGGAUACCACAGAGUAUCAGAGUAGUCCUGCCUGCCUGCAGCUUCCUUCCCACAGGGAGAGGAUUGAGGAUAGAUUAUAAACAUGGAAGAUGAGAGGGACCAGAAGAGCAGGCUGUAACUUCAACCAGAGUGGCCAGGAAGACUCUCACUGAAAAGGGGCAUCGAGCAGACAGACAUAAAGAAGGCAAAGAAGCGGGCAAAGAAGCGGGCCACGCGACUGGCUGGGGAAAGCAUGUUCCAGCUCUCCCCGAAGGUCCUCUGAGGAGGAGAAACAAAGUAAGGCGUGCAUGAGCGACAUGGGAGAUUGUAUGGCAAGGUCACCAGCCCUUUAUACCCCAACUGACUCAUUCAUUCCCCAGAGACUCCUAAGGCCAAGAAUGAACGUGCAGGCACAGGGCCAAGCAUGGGGAGCGGGGGGCAGGGGGCCCAUACCCAAGCAUUGUAGCCCUACGCGAGUGGCUCUGAGCUGAGCUCCCCUGCACAGCUCUCUUCCUACCCCCAGUCCCCCAGCAGUACCCCUCUACCCCAUCUGUCCCCAUGAGAAGCUGCAUGCCCUGCGGGAGCCUGACUAGAUUUGCCACUACAGCCCCUACACCAAUCUGGCCAUGGCACAGCCAGCUCCUGUUUUCACAGACAGCUUCUGGAAAGCACACCCAGGGACCCCUGAGCUACCAGGAACCCUCUACCACCACCGCACUAUGUGGCCCAGCUCAGCGCCCAGGCCCCUACCUUUGAACUUCUUCAGCAUCCCUUUUAAGACAAAGGUCUUGAGAGAAACAUUCCAGACUUUAUUCUUCAUCUCAGAAGAGACUGUGGUUGGCUUGGGGCCAGGCACAUUGCUACACCUGCAGGACAAGGGCUCUGAGAAGGGCCUAUCUGCACCGUUUUGCUCCCACAGGCUGUGACAAUUAGGAUGGCGAGGUCCUCUUGGCAGAAAGAGGUAGAAAAGGGAGAGCCAGACCUCAUGCAGAAAAACCCAUGGCCAGGCAGGUGGGCAUUUGUCUCGGAAGGUCCCUGGGCAAGCAAGUCAGGGGAUCAGGAGGUGAGAGGUCAGGGGACAGGGAGUAAAGAGAAGGCUCAGUGAAAAGGGAAGAGGCAACUUAGAGAGGCCCCAGGAGCUGUGAGGUCACUCGCCUGCUCAGCGUGCUUUUGAAUUCCUGGAAGGAAAGACAGAGGAAACCAAAUCAGCAUCAGGUAACCUCCAUUCACCUCUGAGAAACAAAGCUUGCCCCUUGCUGUGCCUCCAAGAUGUCAGCAAUAGGCAGAUGUGCCACGCCUCACUGCCUGCAUGGACUUCAGGGGCAGCAGCUUCCAGUGGCUGCUGGCUGCAGGGUCUCACCCACGCAGUGGGCCUCUCACCCUUUGCCACAGCUCUUCACAUGCUUUCUUUCUAUCUUUGCUGCUUUCUUUGUUACAGAAUCAUCACUGGAGCUAUCCCAUGGGACCCAGUGCUGCCUGUGUCCUGGAAACCACCUGAGGGAGGUCACAGCCCUUAUGCACCUACUGCUCACUCAGCCCUGUAAUGACUGUUCUUAACCCAUCUGUGGAUUGUGAAGUUUAUCUAGUUGUUUAUAACUAUUUUUUUUUAGCAAAAUAGAAUAGAAAACAUCAAAGUGCAUACGUGCAGCAAAGGUGAGUAUUAUUUUCUGAGACUUUUGUCUCAAGAAUGUGAUUCUGAAAUACCAUAUAUAUUAUUGUGGCUCAUAGUCAAGAAAGUUUUAUCACAUCCCUCUAGACCUCCAACCCCAGGAAAAUCAGGGCACUUCUCUCCAGUCCCCUUCAGCUCCAGAUCAUGUGAUUCUCCUAGACCCCCAGCACUGACACUGUCCUCUAGCUGCUGGUCCUGAUGCCUUAGGAUAAAUGACUGGAGCCCCUGACUGAGCCAGACUUACCUGGAGAAAGUCCAGGUCAGGCUUUUGAGCUGUCUCCUGGAUCUGGCUGCUGAGCUUGGAAAGCUGGGUGAUCUCAGCCCCGAGCUGGGCCAGGUUCUCAUUCUGCUUCUGUGCCACCUCCCGGGAUAGUUCCUCCAGGCGGCCUAGCAGCCGACCCUCCUGCUCCACCAGGAAGGCCCUCAGUGCCUGGAACUCUGCCCCCACCUUCUCCUGCUCCGCUGCCAUCUGUUUCUGUCCCAGGAGGAGAAGUUGGAGAGGGACUUGAGCAUGGAGGCAUAACCUUUGGCCAGUGACCUGAGUCAUCCCACGGGGCAAGGCUUCGUCCCUGUCACUGCUGGGGGAUGAGAGACACACCCACCUACGCACGCAGUGCAUGCUCUAUUGUCAAUGUCCCAGCUCCGAACAAGCUGUAGUCUGGACACAUGCUCUUUUCUCCCCUGCCACAGAUGUGCCCACACAUGUCUGUGGACUUGUGCUCCGUCACCUAAACCAAGGCUGCAUCAUACUCACCUCAGAACUACGCCAAGCUGCAGCUUCCUCACUUGAAAAGCAGAAGGAAUAAAUUAGUGCCUCCUGGGGCAACCAUA